rnacentral:misc_RNA from 1 species
GGCCAACGCCUUUCCCAUGCCUCCUUAUAUUUAUAGCGCCAAAAUACAUCCACGAAGAACCAGAAGAUCAUCGUUUCUACGCUAUCUGCUUUUCUCGGAGGAGGAAUUUACUUUUCCAGUGCAGCAAAACAAGGACGAUUGAUAGUUUUGGUUCAGAUUGGGAACCACAGAUAUUAGGGGUGUGAAGAGGAAGAUUGGCGAAACAGACCCCAUGACAGAAGCAGCUUCAGUCUCUUCCCUCUGCUCUCCUGCAUCCCCUGUAACUGGUAGCCUUUCUGUUUCUACUUCAAAGAUGACACGUUCGCCGGUAAAAGUAGCAGAGAUUACAGGAAGUUGGCUUCAAACUGUUAUUUCUCCGCUUCCUUCGAAACCAUCUGCAAAAUUGGAGCAAAUGCUAGUAGUUCAUGGUCAGAGUAUAGUUGAUGAGGUGAUAAGGAGAGCAAAUAUUCUAGUGACGGCCUUGUUUCCUACUAGUAGAUUUGAUCAGCGAUUUAUCUCGACUCUGUACCGUAUCAACUUGAUCGAAAGCUCAUGGUCUGAGCAGAGACGCAGCCAAGCUCUCAAGUUAUAUUACAGAGUUUUGGAAGCUGUUUGUGAAUCAGAAGCUCAAAAGUUGAACACCAAUGAUUUGAGUGGAUUACUGGCUAAUGAGAGGUUUCAUAGAUGCUUGCUUGCUUGUUCCGCUGAACUAGUUUCUGCAAUGCAAACAGGAAUCAGUAUGCUGCUUCCUGUGAUUUUCGAGAGAACAGGAAUAACAGCUUUUGAUCUGAGUAAAGUGAUUGGGACUUUCAUCACACAUGAACCAUCACUUCCUAGAGAAUUGAGAUGGCACCUGAAUUCUUUGGAAGAGCAGCUGUUAGAGAGCAGAGUGUGGGAAAAAGGUUCUUCUUUAUAUGAUUCUUUAAUUGUUUCAAGACCAGCCCUUUCUGAUGAAAUUUAUAGACUUGGGCUACUGGCUGCACCCAUGCCAUCACUAGAUACUAUUGCCUUGCAUUAUACUGGUUCUUAUGGUGGCUUCCCUUACCCAACUAUCUUGCAUAAUCACAAUUUGUCACCAGUGGAGGAUAGAGACACUAUUAUCCGUCGGAAGAGACCUUGUAGCGAGCAUGGUGAUAAGGUGCUAAACCACAUUUCUCCUAAAUCACAAAAAAUAGAUAGUCCGCCAGCUUUUCGAGAUCUGCAAUCCCAGGCAGCACCAGCAUCGCCAUCUUUGCAAAAUGCAAUUUUGAGCCCAACACAGUCAAAUCCACAACAUGGAGGGGGUGCAUGCUCAGAUACAGCAAUCAGUAUUCUUUUCAGUAAGAUGACAAAGUUAGAAGCUAUCAGAAUCCAAUGUAUAGCAGAAAGGCUAAAACUAUCUCAACAGUUCAGGGAGAAAAUCUAUUUUCUCUUUCAACAGAUCCUUACUCAAAGGGCUUCUCUUUUCUUUAACCGACAUAUAGAUCAGAUCAUCCUCUGCUGUUUCUAUGGGGUGGCAAAGGUAUCUGAAGUAGAGCUGACUUUUAAACAAAUCAUUGACAAUUAUAGGAAGCAACCACAAUGCAGAUCUCAAUUUUAUCUUUCUGUGUCCAGCAAUCAUGAGAAAAAUGGGGGACAAUAUGUUGGGAUAAUUGCAUUUUACGAAAAAUUUUUUGUUCCAAAUGUCAAGUCUUUAUUGGAGAUUCUCCAUGCAAAAACACCAAAACAACUUCCAGAGAUUAAUCAUAAUGAUGAUUCUCCCAGUCUACACCAAAUGUCUCCAUUUCCAAGCCUUCCAGACUUUUCUCCAAAGAAAGUGUCUCCAUCACAGAAUGUCUACCUGUCCCCAUUACGACCAUCAAAGAGGGAUGCUUUGAACUCAAAUAUAUUGACUAAAAGCUACUAUGCUUUAUUUGGAGGGAGCACUCGGCGUCACGAAAGUCCAUCGAAACAACUUUCAGCUAUCAACAAGCGCUUGAAUAGGGCCCCGAAGGCUAGGUGCAUGCUCAAAUUUGACAAUAGUGAUGCGGUUAUGAUUAGUGAUAGUGUUGUGGCUGAGAGUUUAUCCCUUCAAAAUAAUUACCCUGCUUCCUCAGGUGUUGUGCCUUGAUGUUCGUGCUCAAAAUCUCAGCAAGUGGAAGUCCCAACAAUGUUGAGCUCUUAUCCAUCAAAAAAGAAGAAAAAAAAUACAGUUCUGCUGCCUUGUGUAAAUUUGCUAGACAGCACCUUUUAAUUCUUCUCAAAUAAGCUUAAAUCAAUUAUAUAAUCUAUAGAAAUAAUAUAACAUAAAAUUAUAAUCUAAAAUCAAUGGUCAAGCCAUAUAAGGAAAGUAACUCUCCCCAUUAUAUAAAUUUCGUAUUGGAUUUGAAAUUCCUGUAUAAAAUCUAUGCACUUGGUACCCCUAUUAGAAUUGAUGUAAAUGGUAAGGUUUAUUUCUGCUUCUAUUCUCCCUCAUUCUGUAGUUAAUGAAUUCCAGAUGGAUGUUCAGUUGUUUAAUUCCACUUGGUUUCUCCAUUUAUCUUGUACCUUGUCUCUCAGAUGGAAAACAUUGGAUUUGUCAGUAAGCACUUCCACUCCUUCCAUUCCCUAGCUUGAUUUAAAAACAUCAUUUUCAGAUGUGAAGCCAUCCAACUUGCCCUAGCUUUUGGUCUUGUUUCAGCAGGCGACAAUGCUAAUAGCUCUAUUAACAAGUAUAUCUUCUUCAAGCCAAGCCCUCCAACUUUUUAUCCCAAUAAGUGAAAAUAACCUUCCAAGGAAAGCAAGCAAAUAUCAACUCCAAACAAAAAGCUUUCCAAAUCCAAGCAUACGCUAUUUAUCUUUUGGUCUUGAGGGAUGCUGGGCAGGGGCACAAGCAGAAGAAAUGGCAAUGUGCAGAUGCGAUCAAUUCAGAACUGAACCUUUUCUUUAUUUAUUUAUUUAUUUUCCCCUCUCCUCGUCCUGAUAUAUGCUUUAAGACAGCCUUCAGUGCACUUCUUCAGUA